GAUGAGCGCUGGCUGUGUGCCUAAUACAUGCAUGUCGAGCGGAAACGACAACAUUGACCCUUCGGGUGAUUUGUUGGGCGUCGAGCGGCGGACGGGUGAGUAAUGCCUGGGAAAUUGCCCUGAUGUGGGGGAUAACUAUUGGAAACGAUAGCUAAUACCGCGUAACGUCUACGGACCAAAGAGGGGGACCUUCGGGCCUCUCGCUUCAGGAUAUGCCCAGGUGGGAUUAGCUAGUUGGUGAGGUAAUGGCUCACCAAGGCGACGAUCCCUAGCUGGUCUGAGA
rnacentral:rRNA from 1 species